rnacentral:rRNA from 1 species
AGCGAACGCUGGCGGCAGGCUUAACACAUGCAAGUCGAGCGGGCACUUUCGGGUGUCAGCGGCGGACGGGUGAGUAACGCGUGGGAACGUGCCCUCUGGUUCGGAAUAACUCAGGGAAACUUGAGCUAAUACCGGAUACGCCCUUUUGGGGAAAGGCUUGCUGCCGGAGGAUCGGCCCGCGUCUGAUUAGCUAGUUGGUGAGGUAACGGCUCACCAAGGCGACGAUCAGUAGCUGGUCUGAGAGGAUGAUCAGCCACACUGGGACUGAGACACGGCCCAACCCCGUCGGGGGGGAAGCGGGGGGAAUUAUUGAACAAGGGGCGAGAGUUUGACCCCGCCAUGCCGCGUGAGUAUAAAGGCCCUUGGGGUUGAAAGACUUUUUUAUCCGGGAGAAAAAUGAGGGAGCGGGAGAAAAAGGCCCGGGCAAGCUUGGCC